UCAAUCAUUCGUUGCGAACCAAAGCUUCUCUCCCAGAUUGAUUCUACAUCUUCUUCUCUCUUAUGGGCGAGUCUACAAUGAAAAACCUCUCAACCUUACCGAAUCAACAGAAACCCUAGAGGAAAGAAGCAGAAGCAUGAGAUCGUCGAGUCACCAUUGUUGUCGCUGGUCUCAGGCAAGGGGAAAGAAGCGAAGUCGUUUGAGAAAGACUUGAUGGAGAUGCAAGCGAUGUUGGAGAAGAUGAAGAUCGAGAAGGAUAAAACCAAGGAUUUGCUAAAUGAGAAAGAUGACAUCCUGAGGAAGAAGAAAGAGGAACUUGAGACAAAGGACGUGGAACAGAAGAAGCUUAAGGUGAAGUUGAAAAUCUGCAGAAGAUGAAGGAAUUCAAGCCCAACUUGACUUUCGCUUUUAGUCAAUCUUUGGCACAACGUGAUGAGAGAACAAACAUGGAUGGUCAGAUGGACGCCUAUUUAUUGAUGUCAUCCAACGGAAUCUGUCAAUUCAUCUGCAAAGAUGGAUAUAGUGCUCAUACACUAUAUACGUUUUUUGUUAUCUUUUGGAUUAGUGGAUAUUUUUUGUAAGACUUAUUAAAGAACGAGUCAAAUUAUAUACACGUAGAAGACAUGCAACCAUUUCUCAAUUUUUUUCA